GAUGAACGCUAGCGGCAGGCCUAACACAUGCAAGUCGAGGGGCAGCACGGAAUGUAGCUUGCUACAUCUGGUGGCGACCGGCGCACGGGUGCGUAACGCGUAUGCAACCUACCUUGAACAGGGGGAUAAUUCGGAGAAAUCUGGUCUAAUACCCCAUAACACAUUUUACGGCAUCGUAGAUUGUUGAAAUUUUCGGAGGUGAAAGAUGGGCAUGCGUGACAUUAGCUAGAUGGUGAGGUAACGGCUCACCAUGGCAACGAUGUCCAGGGGGACUGAGAGGUUAACCCCCCACACUGGUACUGAGACACGGACCAGACUCCGACGGGAGGCAGCAGUGAGGAAUAUUGGUCAAUGGACGAGAGUCUGAACCAGCCAAGUCGCGUGAAGGAUGACUGCCCGAUGGGUUGUAAACUUCUUUUAUGUGGGAAUAAAAAAGGGAACGUGUUCCCUAUUGCAUGUACCACUAUGAAUAAGCAUCGGCUAACUCCGUGCCAGCCGCCGCCGUAAAAC
rnacentral:rRNA from 1 species